AUUGUACGCUGGCGGCAGGCCUAACACAUGCAAGUCGAACGGUAACAGGAAACAGCUUGCUGUUUCGCUGACGAGUGGCGGACGGGUGAGUAAUGUCUGGGAAACUGCCUGAUGGAGGGGGAUAACUACUGGAAACGGUAGCUAAUACCGCAUAACGUCGCAAGACCAAAGAGGGGGACCCUCGGGCCUCUUGCCAUCGGAUGUGCCCAGAUGGGAUUAGCUUGUUGGUGGGGUAACGGCUCACCAAGGCGACGAGCCCUAGCUGGUCUGAGAGGGUGACCAGCCAAACCUGGACCUAGGCACCGGCCAGAACCCCAAGGGAGGGCACCGUGGGGAAAUAUUGCACAUGGGGCGAAGCCCUAAUGCAGCCAGGCCGCGUGUAUAAAGAGGCCCUCCGGGUUGUAAAGUCCUUUCACCGGGAAGAAAGGGAGUAAAGUUAAAACCUUGCUCAUUGACGUUACCCGCAGAAGAAGCACCGGCUAACUCCGUG
rnacentral:rRNA from 1 species